CAAACGGCCGUUUUAACGGCCACCAAACUUUUAGAAAAGAUGCCUCU
rfam:Crassostrea gigas strain 05x7-T-G4-1.051#20 contig23139, whole genome shotgun sequence.